GCUUCCUAGAAGACAAAUUUAUAAAAAAAAUAAUAUUUAGAUUUGCUUAUGCAAAUGUUUAAAUUAGAUUUUUUAUUUAUUUUUGGCAUUUACAUACAGCCCUUUACAAUAUAUGUUCCAAAGCAGUUUACAAAUAAAGUUAAACAACACAACAAUUCAAACAGCACAGUGCAAACUUCUCUCUCUGGAGUUUAUAAUAUACUAAGGCUAGAAGUCCUCCAAAAAACUGGGCUCUAAAGGCCAAUGGAUACUCCACCACAGACAUCAAAAGAGCUGCAAGGCCAAGAACAAGCCAUGAGAGUCAAGACAAAGAUCCACCCAGAGGAAUGGUGCUCUUACACCAUCAAGGGAACCACUGACCGCAUAGGCAAACUGAUGAAGAAGCACAAUCUACAAACUAUCUACAGACCCACAAAGAAAAUCCAACAAAUGCUAGAGCCCAGUUUAGGUGGUUUAGUUCACCUUGGAGGAGGUGAGGUUCGCAGAUUCUUUGUGCACGGUCUGUCAGGGCUUUUAUUGUGUCACGACCCAGGCUGCAGAGCACCAAUAACCAAACACAGAGGCCAGAAUCUAUCUAAUAUCUUUAUUAAGGAAAUGUAUAAAGUUAAUAAAAGCAAGCGUAGGAAAUAGUUCAGAAGUAGACCUUUCAGGAAAGGUCAAAAUUAGUCCAAAGAAACAAUGUCCAAUAUGAAAUAUUAAGGUCCAAAGUUGUAAUCCAAUAACCGAAACACCCACUUUGCCAGGCAAAGUGAGGGGAGAUGACAAGGUUCUUAGUCCAAGGAACUUGAUGUAAGGCUAGGAAGUAAACUUGAUUCUUGGAACACAAGGCUUGAUACAAGGCAACAAGGUACGAGGAACAGGGACAAGAUCCGUGGUAAAUACUUGGCAAGGUCCUGGAAAGCAAAGCAAGGUCCGUGAAGCAAAACAAGGCUGGGAACGUGAACGAAGGCUUGGAAACAGGAACGAAGGCUUGGAAACGGGAGUAACGCUGUCCACACACAACCUACUCCAGUUGCUGACGAAUUGACUCCGCAAAAUUCCUUCAGGGCAAGGAACCUAAAUAGGGUCCCGUUCCCACCAAAGAACACUUCUCUGGGGAACCAGAACCGAAAGUCAAUCUCUGUGUCCAGAUGCAUGACUCCCUAAAGGUUCUCAUGAAAGCAGUCUUAAUCAGCUGAAUGCCUGGCUGCGAUUCUCAGGCUUCUGCGAUUAGCCUGUUGAACUCCUUUUUGUUGUUGAUAAUAACUACGGCGAGAAAAUGGGGGAGAUUUUGACUCAGGGCUUGUUUGGCAGAUUUCUGGAAGACAAUCCUCCUGCAGGUGCAAGGGCUCCAGUUCUGGCUGGGAAAGUUCCAAUUCUGGCUGAAAUGGUGGAAAACCCAAGUUUUCCUCUUCAUCUGCCACAACAGCGCUAGGAACGGGACUACAUGGCCCAUGAGUCAUCACAGAUUGUGUUCCAUAAAAAAUUUGCUACUACUGGGCUACUACGGUCAGCGAAAGACAAGAGGGAUCCUCUCUCCUCUGCAGAAGUCUAUCUGAUACCAUGCAGCUGUGGACAAGUAUACAUAGGGACCACCAAACACAGCGCCCAAACAAGAGUCAAAGAACAUGAAAGGCACUGCAGACUAAUUCAACCAGAGAAAUCAGCCAUAGCAGAGACUUGAUGAACCAACCUGGACACAGUAUAUUAUGUGAGAACACAGAAAUGCUGGACCACUCCAACAACUAUCAUGUCAGACUACACAGAGAAGCCAUUGAAAUCCACAAGCAUGUGGACAACUUCAACAGAAAGGAGGAAACCAUGAAAAUGAACAAAAUCUGGCUACCAGUAUUAAAAAACUCUAAAAUCAAAACAGUAGAUGGGAAGCAACACUCUGAAGGAAGAGGAGCCCCAAGGACGGCUAUUGACUGAACAAAGGAUCUCCCCAGGCAACAGACAAAAACCUUUCCAAUGCUAAUUAGGGUGAUUAAAUGAAACAUUAAUGCUGGCUUCCCAGUGACAAAGGUCUCUUGCCACACCCUGGACUCUCUACAGAUAUAUAUAUUUUUCCUUUCCUAGUUUAUCCAUACCUCACAACCUCUGAGGAUGCCUGCCAUAGAUGUGGGAGAAACAUCAGGAGAGAAUACUUCUGGAACAUGGCCACAUAGCCCGAAAGACAUACAACAACCGCAAUGUUUUAUUUGUUUGUUUACCCACCCCAUUGCUGCUUUUAAUAGUCAAGUGGCCUUUCUUCCCCUUGCAAGCUCUGGAGAAAGUGAAGUCUCUUCUACCGUGAGGGCGGGCGGCAGCAGCAGAGGAGGCUGAAAGAGGCAGCCAGGCUUCUUUUUCUGCUGGCGCUCCAGCGAGCCACGCCAGGAAACAUGGAGUCCCACCCCGGUUGGGUGCCCUAUGGCAGCCAUGGCGUCAGCAGGGGGCUUCUUCUUCCUAGAAGCCCCGUGUGGUGGGAAUUUUUCUCGCCGCUUGGCCAGCUAGCCAAUCAGCAGCAGGCCGGCCCUGCCUCUUGGCAGAGCGGCAGCAGCAAGAGCAACAGCGAGGAGCACGGCAGCAGCAAGACCAGCAGCUGCAGGAUUGGAGGCGGCGAUUUCAACAGCGGCAAAUUCGGUGACGGCAACCCUUGCGGCGGUGAGGACUUCCUGGUGUCCCUACCACCGCCAAGAGGCUGCAACAGGAAGUCCUCACUCUCCCUGGGGUUUGCAAGGGGGAGAAAGGCCACUUAACUAUUAAAAUAACGUUUAUAUGUUAAAAUAAAAAUAGUGACUCUACUUCGUGGUUUUUCACUUUUCAUGGGUAGGCCUGGAACCUAACCCCUGCAAAAAGUGAGGGAGCACUGUACAUAUUUAUAAUCUUAGGGCAUCAGUGCCCUCUAGCUUAAUAAUGAUCAAAAUUUCAUCAAAAGGUGUACUUAUCCCAAAAUUUGAGUCUAAGAAUCUUGAAACAGAGUAUUAAACUUAGUUCAAAAUUCUGAUUACAUUAUUUCCUAAUUACCGUCUUCCCUGACUUUUCAUAGAUGUCAAUUUUCUAUGUGACGUGGCAAAGGUCACACAGGAUAUUUCUAUAACAAGCAGGGAUUCUAACCCUGAUCCCCAAUCAUCACCUAAUGCUUUAGCUUCUCGAACCAUUCCCUUAACAACUGGUUUUCCUCUAACAAAUAUUCCAACAGCUGUUUCUCACCUGCACCAAUGAUCAGAGGAAUUGGGACAAUUCUGAACACAGAAAAAAGGGUCAGAAGCAAAAACUGAAAUUAUGUGCCAUCACUAUCACAACCGCAUUUUGUUCCAACACUCCUGCCUUAAUGUGAUAAUUUAAUUCACCUUUAUUACUAUCACUACUCUAUUUUAGCUGUAUUUUGUUCUAAUAUAUGUAGUGAGAUGCCUUGAGUCCCAUGCUGGAAGAGCUGCAAAAUUGAAACCGAAAGAAAGAAAGAAAAAAAAAGAAUAGAUCUAAGCAACAUUUGUUACUGCUUGGCAGUACAGUAUUUUUAAAAACAGGGCUGGCCAGAGAUGGAGAAUGAUUCCAAGGGCUAGAUGUAAAUAGUGCACAUGUAAAUUGAUGUAACCAAAGUGGCCUAACAACUAAAAGAACAACAAAAUAGUUUACUGCAUGCUGCUGCAGCAAAAAGCUGAUGCUGAAAUGCUGUUUUUACUGACCUUGACACUCUGAUAAAUUGCUAAGACAAAUGUUACAGAGAUCUGCUUUUAAAAGAAACAUAAGCAAGUAAGAAACACAGGAGGAAUUGGUACGCAAGCUGUAUUGCUAAUGCCUUCCACAGGGCCCCUUGCUUGUCGGACUAUAAAAAGAAAGUUUUUUCUGGCAUUUUUAAAAUGCCAGAAAAGAGCCUUGCAGCCAAGGACUCAUUUGGAGGUAACUUUUAUUGGCCAUUAGCAAGCAGCUAAUGCAAACCUCCAUUACUUAGGGGUGACUGCUUCCACAUAACUCCAUCCUGAUUUCAUGUGAAAGCUUUGUUUAACUGCUGCAGCAUCUUUAAUGCAAAAAUAAAAUAAUAAAAUAAAAAGCCAGACAUAUUAAGAUAAUAUGAGCGUAAAAAGACAUCAGAUUUUAUGAAAAUAACAAAGUGAUUGAAAUCCUGAUGGUCACUUGUUUGCUGCUGCCUUCGUCUGAAUAUAGGCAGUCCUCCCUACUUGUGGACUUAGCUUUUGCAGAUAUUAUUUAUGGAUUUGAAUAAUAUGCUCUCUGAAGGAAUCUCUAGGUCCUGCAGAAGUUGACCAUGGAGCUGUGAUGGAAGACAUACACAGGCCUAGACAAGUGUUCUCUCGAUUUCUAAAAAAGGUAUUUUCCCCCACUUUUGCAGGGGUCCUGCAUCCCUUAUUAUCACAGAAUUGGAUGGCCUUCUGCAAAGCAUAUAACAUCUGAUUAUUUGCUGGUGGUAUUUUUUUUUUAAGAAUAUAUGGAAACGCCCCUGGUUUUGCUAUUUUUUUUUUUCAUGUACAGCACCGGUGUGUGCGCUCCAGGCCUUUUGUGGUAUUUGAAAAAGCACUGCAGACUAACUCAACCAGAGAAGGCAGCCAUAGCAGAGCACUUGAUGAACCAACCUGGACAUCAAAUAUUAUUUGAGAAUACAGAAAUACUGGACCACUCCAACAACUAUCAUGUCAGACUACACAGAAAAGCCACUGAAAUCCACAAGCAUGUGGACAAUUUCAAGAGAAAGGAGGAAACCAUGAAAAUGAACAAAAUCUGGCUACCAGUAUUAAAAAAAAAAUCUAAAAUCAGAACAGUAAAUAAAGAACAACACUCUGAAAACAGAGGAAAUCCAGACAUGAAUCAAUCAGGGGCAGUUAACACCUGCGAACAAAGGGUUCCCCCAGGCAGGAAGAAGCCAGGCAGUGAAGCUGGCAAGGCCAUUAAUGAUAAUCAAGGUGAUUAAUUACAACAUUCACACAGGCAUCCAACAGACAAGAGUUCUUUCUCCCACCCUAGACCUUCCACAGAUAUAUAAAUCUCCCUUGCUUAGUUUUCCAAUAUACCUCACAACCUCUGAGGAUGCCUGCCAUAGAUGUGGGCAAAAUGUCAUGAGAGAAUCCUUCUGGAACAUAGCCAUACAGCCCAGAAACCUCACAACAACCCAGUGAUACCGGCUAUGACAACACAGUAUUUGAAAAUGUUUAAGCAAUUACAUGCACAGGAAAAAAUAAAUAUGUUGGGACAACCAUCUGUCCAAGUUGCAUUUUGAGAAAAACUCUGUGCAAAUUUUAUUUUCUAAAAAUAUUUUGGUUAGCAUGGUGUGGAGUUAAGAGCCACUGUGAGAUUUUUACUGGCAUCCUCAUUAGAAAGACUUAAAUAUAAUUUCUUGUAUCUGAGACAACAGGAAGGGAGAAGAAAUCUACUAUAGGAAGGGAAACUUACUUUUGUAAGAGUUAUGUGGAAAAGGUGUCUCUACUGAAGCUUUAUCGCCAAUCUUUGUUUCCACAAGUCAAAUGUUUCAAAAUCCAAUGAUCACAGAGAAAGAAAGUGAGGUGAAAUCUUCUGAACAGGGGAACAGACAGCAAAAGAAACACCUCAGGGGUGUUAACCCUUCCCUAUGCUAUUCAACACUACCGCAAAACUGACACGAGUUCCAUGUAAAAAAUGUUCCGACAUGCAUACAAAUUCAACGUACCGGUAUGAAUAAACCAACAGAACCUAUCGUAACUUGGGGAUUGCCUGUAAUAGGAAACAGAACUUAGAACAAAUCCAAGGCUUAUACCGGUUUUAUAUAAAUUGUAUGACCAUAACCUCCUUUCCCCCCUGCAAUGUCUUAGAAUUCAGCAAUGAUCAGACUGAAAAUAAUUCUUUCAAGGUAUUUUAGCUUAACAUAGACAUUUCCAAAAUUUUCUGAAAUGCGAAAACAUAGUUAACAAAGGCAGAAAUAUGAAUACUGUAUGUUGCCUGCAUUGAAAACUAAACCAAACAUUCGAUCAUUAAUUGAUACACAAGGUAACAACAUGUCAUUUGUUGUUGCUGCAGCCACACAUUUUAAAAAUACUAUUUUGCUGCCAUUUUUUCUGAAACUCCAAAAAAUACAAGUUUACUUUCAGAAACCUAUCCUGUCUAAACCAAAUAUAAUUCAAACUGCAGUGAAGAAAUGCAUGCCUGCUGAAUUUAAUGAAUGCCCUCUCUUGUGUGUGUCUGUUUAAAUGUGAAAAUGUUUACAGAUAUGGUAACUGUGAGUAGCAUCAUGUCAUGUGCUUUCAUAAGGAAAACAGUGAAGAGCAUUACAGAUAGGGUGCAUCUACACCAGGGGACCCCAAACUAAGGCCCGGGGGCCGGAUGCGGCCCAUCGAAGCCAUUUAUCCGGCCCCCACGGCACAAGGACAGAAGGUGGUUGGGCUAAAUGACCCAAGGGGUCUCUUCUUCUCUUACAACCAUUAUUAUUAUUAUUAUUAUCAUCAUCAUCAUUAUUAACAUUAAGGCUGGGUGGCCAUCUGUCAGGGAUGCUUUGCUUGUGCUUUUGGUGCACAAAGGCAGAAAGGGGUUGGACUAAAUGGCCCAAGGGGUCGUCUUCCAACCCUCUUUUUUUAAAUUAUUAUUAUUAUUAUUAUUAUUAUUAUUAUUAUUAUUAUUAUUAUUAACAUUGAGGCUGGGUGGCCAUCUGUCAGGGGUUCUUUGCUUGUGUUUUCAGUGCACAAAGGCAGAAGGGGAUUGGACUCAAUGGCCUAAAGGGUCUUUCCAACCCUCUUUUUUAUUAUUAUUAUUGUUGUUAUUAUUAUUAUUAUUAAUUAUUAUUGCUCGGUGGCCAACCAUAGUUUGGCCCUCCAACGGUCCGAAGGAUCGUGAACCGGCCCCGUUUAAAAAGUUUGGGGACCCCUGAUCUACACGGUAAUGCAGCUUGAAACCAUUUUAACUGCUAUGACUCAAAAUUAUGUAGUCCUUUAUAAAGUGUUUAGCUUUCUCUGCCCAAGAGUGCUGGUGCCUCACCAAAACACAAAUCCAAAUGCCAGAUAGAAUUGAGCCAUGGGGCUUAAAGUGGUGUCAAGCUGCAUUCAUUCUAAAGUGCAGAUGCACCCACAGACUAGCCCAAAAUGCAUGGAACCAAAAGUGGGAUGUUGGAAUAUCCAUUUAUUUACUUACUUCAUGUAUAUCCCACCCUUCUCACCCCGAAGGGGACUCAGAGCAGCCUUAUAAAAUAGGCAGCAAUUUGAUGCCAUCAACAAACAUACAAUAAAAUACACAAUUACAUUAAAACCAGACAUUAAAAACAAGAAAAUUUUAAACCAAUUAUUAAAAUCACAUUAUCCAAAAUCAUAAUUUAAACUUUUCCAUUUGUCAUUUCGCUAUUCCUUUAUUCUCUUACUGCACUAGAAACUUGCUAUCCAAAAGCUGGAUGCCAUAAUCAUGUUUUUACUUUCUUCCUGAAGGUCAGGAGGAAGGAGGCUGCUCUACUUUCACUAGGAAGUUCCAUAACCGAGGGGCCACCACUGAAAAGGCUGUUUUUCAUCCACACCAGCAAAGGAGGUGGGACCGAGAGCAGGGACUCCCCAGAAGAUCUUAAUAUCCGAGGUGGACCAUAGAGGAAGAUACGUUCGGAGAGGCCAAGGACAAGCCACGGGAAUAAAGACGAAGAUCCACCCAAAGGAAACGUGUUCAUCAAGGGAACCACUGACCACAUAGGGAAGCCGAUGAAGGCACACAACCUACAAACUAUCUACAGACCCACUCAGAAAAUGCAACAAAUGGAGUAAUCUUUCUGGAACAAAUGAAAAAGUUUGUAGAAUGGCUCAAGAAUGCUGAAGAAGAAUCUGAGCUGUAGCCAACACCUCCCAACAAAGGAUUCCCACCAGACAGGAAUCAGUCGGUCCUUGAAACUGCAAGGCUUUUUAAUGCUCAUCAAGGUGAUUAAUUGCAACAUUCACAUUUGUCUCCAACAAACAGGAGUACUUUCUCCCACCUGAACAUUCUACAGAUAUAUAAACCCCACUUGACUAGUUUCCAACAUACCUCAUUACCUCUGAGAGGCCUGCCAUAGAUGCAAGCAAAACGUUAGAAGAGAAUGCUUCUGGAACAUAGCCAUAAAGGUAAAGGUUUCCCCUGA